rnacentral:rRNA from 1 species
CCUACGGGAGGCAGCAGUGAGGAAUAUUGGUCAAUGGCCGAGAGGCUGAACCAGCCAAGUCGCGUGAGGGAAGACGGCCCUACGGGUUGUAAACCUCUUUUGUCGGGGAGCAAAGCGAGUCACGUGUGACUCAUUGAGAGUACCCGAAGAAAAAGCAUCGGCUAACUCCGUGCCAGCAGCCGCGGUAAUACGGAGGAUGCGAGCGUUAUCCGGAUUUAUUGGGUUUAAAGGGUGCGCAGGCGGAGGUGCAAGUCAGCGGUCAAAUUGCGGGGCUCAACCCCGUACUGCCGUUGAAACUGCAGCCCUUGAGUGCGCGAGAAGUAUGCGGAAUGCGUGGUGUAGCGGUGAAAUGCAUAGAUAUCACGCAGAACUCCGAUUGCGAAGGCAGCAUACCGGCGCGCAACUGACGUUCAUGCACGAAAGCGUGGGUAUCGAACAGGAUUAGAUACCCCUGUAGUC